rnacentral:rRNA from 1 species
AGAGUUUGAUCCUGGCUCAGAAUGAACGCUGGCGGCGCGCCUAAUACAUGCAAGUCGAGCGAGAAGACGUAGCAAUACGUUUGUAAAGCGGCGAACGGGUGAGGAAUACAUGGGUAACCUACCCUCGAGUGGGGAAUAACUAGCCGAAAGGUUAGCUAAUACCGCGUACGCUCCUUGGACUUCGGUUCAGGGAGGAAAGCGCUACCGUGGGUAGCGCGCUCUUGGAUGGGCUCAUGUCCUAUCAGCUUGUUGGUGAGGUAACGGCUCACCAAGGCUUCGACGGGUAGCUGGUCUGAGAGGACGACCAGCCACACUGGCACUGCGACACGGGCCAGACUCCUACGGGAGGCAGCAGUAAGGAAUAUUGCGCAAUGGGCGAAAGCCUGACGCAGCGACGCCGCGUGGGGGAUGAAGGUCUUCGGAUUGUAAACCCCUUUCGGGAGGGAAGAUGGAAUGGGGUAACCCAUUUGGACGG